UCUCAAGAAUGGCACGAUGAAACGCACUACUUCAAACAAUUCUCACGAACCCUAGCUCUCUGAAAAUCCCCAAACGUUUUUUUUAUCGUCGAUCGAUCAAAUCAAUCGCCUCGAUUUUGUAGUUUGUAAGAGCGAAAGAAACGAUGUCUCACUUUGGCAGAUCAGGUCCGCCGGAUAUUUCAGACACCUACUCUCUCCUCAUCCUCAAUAUUAGUUUCCGGACGACGGCCGACGAUUUGUUCCCGCUUUUUGAUAAGUACGGAAAGGUUGUUGAUAUCUUCAUUCCCAAAGAUCGAAGGACUGGUGAUUCGCGUGGGUUUGCAUUUGUCCGGUACAAGUAUGCAGAUGAAGCACAGAAGGCAGUAGAUAGGCUUGAUGGAAGAGAAGUUGAUGGUCGAGAAAUUACUGUUCAAUUUGCAAAAUAUGGACCCAAUGCUGAAAGGAUUCACAGAGGAAGGAUCAUUGAGAAGUCUCCGAGGAGCCGAGGCAGGUCAAGAAGUCGUAGUCCUCGAAGAAGCUCCAGAUAUCGUGAUGAUCAUUAUCACGACAGGGAUUAUAGGAGGAGAAGUCGCAGCAGGAGCAGGAAUAGGUAUGAUAGGUACCAUGGCAGGGAACGAGGUUAUCGCUAUAGAAGCAGGAGUCGUAGCUAUAGUCCAGACUAUGAUAGAAGUCGUGGUAGGGGACAUUAUGAUGAUGAGCGUUGGAGCAGGAGUCUCUCUAUGGAAAGUGCUAGUCCUCGAAGGAGCUUGUCACCUCGCAGGACCCCUCCUAGGGGUAGAAGCCCUGAUAGCCGCAGCCGAUCACCAAGCCGUAGUCUUUCACCAAAUGGUCGCCAUCUUGAUUCUAGUAGUCCUUCACCACGUAGUCCUGAUGAGGAGUGACUGUUAAUCACAUGAGCUGGAAUUCUGAAUUGAUCUCUCUUGUUGCCAUCUUGAUGCUGUUCAGCGAUGUCUUUCCUAGUAGUUUUGUUAUGAUCGAGAAAAGAUAGAUUGGGGCCGAUGGCUGUGAUGAUGAUAUUGUGACCUGUUGAUGCUGUGUAUAGUCUGUAGAUUAUUUGAGAGAAUGCUGUUUGCAGCAGCAGGGGGUGAGGUUGAUUUUUACAUGAGUUACAGUCCUGGUGGUAAGUUUCUCAUGGGCCUGCUCUUUUCCUUUAUGCCCUUUCACACUUCACCUGUUAAUUGGGUAUUUGUCAUACAAAAGUGGGCAGAAAGAGUGUGUAGCUGAUGCUUGUCCUAAAUUUGCCGCUCACAGGACAGGGUAACAAAUGCUCGUAUUUGUUUCUAAUUUUGUUUUUGUGCAUAACAUAUUAUUAUUUGUUGCAUCUUGCUCCUCCUAAGUUGUAGCACCAGUGUUCGUGACUGUUGCUGUGAAGUCGUAGCUGAUUUCAGAUCCUAUCCUAUCCUAGUAAGUUAUAUAGUGGGUGAUGUGUAUGUUUGAAGGUGAGGUGGUAGAUCUUGUGGUUGCAUGGUCGAACCAAGUCCUUGCCUGCUGCCUUAGUUAACAUCACAUCUGAUGAUUUGAAGUUUAUCCUAUGCACGGCUGCAAUUGCGAAUCAUUGAACAUCUCGAGCUUAAGCUGUCAUAUCGUCUCUUUCUGGUAUAUAAUCAUAUGUAAG